rnacentral:lncRNA from 1 species
GAGAAAUAGUAAAUUCUCCUGCGGGUGGCGAAUCAGGAGGGAAGGUGGAGCCCACAAUCUUUGCAAACUCUCUGGGGAGCCAGGGGUUUUGGCAGAGUUCAAAGACUGGGAAGCAAAGUUCAGCCAUGUUGGGCCUUUGGGCUCAUAGAUGAGCAAGGGUACCCCAAUAUGAGGGCUCAGCAAAUUCUGGAACUUAUCAGUUCUGAAGACCUUUAGAGGAGAAGGAGACAAGUAAAAGGUAUGUAGUCCUGGAGGGCGCUGCUUAAUGAACCAGAAGUCCUGCCUCUUAAGUACCUCACCAGCUCAAAUGUGUGCAUGUCACCUUGGCGUGAAUCGGAGCAGGCGCUGGUGGAUACCGUUUGGAGGCAUGCCAGCAAGGAGCUCCUUGUGUAGCCUGCCUCUGGAGCCUCAAGUUCAACUUCCAUAGGGCCAAAAGGGGAGUCGGGCUGGGCAGAAGCUCCUGAGAACCAAAGCAAAUGGUCUGAGAGUCUGAGAGUGUAGUGGAGGUAACGUGUUCGUGUCCUCUCUGGCUGCAUCACCCCAAGUCCUUGCAGACUCAAGUAGCCUAUUUGCAAGUUUAAAUAGUUUGAGUCCUGGCCGGUAACAAGAAUACUCUACAGUGGCCCAGAGUCAGGGAUAUAGAGUGGCGACUACUUGGCAGAACUGGAGCUUGCUCAGAUGAAAAGAUAAAUUGUACUGGUUAAACGAAGAUCAA